GUGCCAGCCGCUGCGGUAAUACGUAGGGUGCGAGCGUUGUCCGGAAUUACUGGGCGUAAAAGAGCUCGUAGGUGGUUUGUCGCGUCGUCCGUGAAAACUUGGGGCUUAACCCCGAGCGUGCGGGCGAUACGGGCAGACUUGAGUACUGCAGGGGAGACUGGAAUUCCUGGUGUAGCGGUGAAAUGCGCAGAUAUCAGGAGGAACACCGGUGCGAAGGCGGGUCUCUGGGCAGUAACUGACGCUGAGGAGACGAAAGGCGUGGUAGCGAACGAGG
rnacentral:rRNA from 1 species